rnacentral:rRNA from 1 species
UACGUAGGGUGCAAGCGUUGUCCGGAAUUAUUGGGCGUAAAGAGCGUGUAGGCGGUCCGGUAAGUCCGCUGUGAAAGUCGGGGGCUCAACCCUCGAAUGCCGGUGGAUACUGUCGGGCUAGAGUGCGGAAGAGGCGAGUGGAAUUCCCGGUGUAGCGGUGAAAUGCGCAGAUAUCGGGAGGAACACCAAUGGCGAAGGCAGCUCGCUGGGACGGUACUGACGCUGAGGCGCGAAAGCGUGGGGAGCAAACAGG